rnacentral:rRNA from 1 species
GAUGAACGCUGGCGGCGUGCAUAACACAUUCAAGUCGAACGAAGCAGUCAAAUGGAUCCCUUCGGGGUGAAGCUUGAUUGACUUAGUGGCGGACGGGUGAGUAACGCGUGAGCAACCUGCCUUACAGUACGGGAUAACGUCCGGAAACAGACGCUAAUACCGUAUAACGCAUGAGGGUCGCAUGAUCUUUUUGCCAAAGAUUUAUUGCUGUAAGAUGGGCUCGCGUCUGAUUAGGUAGUUGGCGGGGGAACGGCCCACCAAGCCUACGAUCAGUAGCCGGACUGAGAGGUUGAACGGCCACAUUGGGACUGAGAUACGGCCCAGACUCCUACGGGAGGCAGCAGUCGGGAAUAUUGCGCAAAUGGAGGAAACUCUGACGCAGUGACGCCGCGUAUAGGAAGAAGGUUUUUCGGAUUGUAAACUAUUGUCGUUAGGGAAGAUACAAGACAGUACCUAAGGAGGAAGCCACGGCUAACUACGUGCCAGCAGCC